ensembl:lncRNA
GGGGGCUUCAGUUGUUUCUGUUUUUUGUAUAAUUUCUUUCCUUUUUUUAACAUAACAUUUUUGAAGACGGUGUGAAUUCUUUAAUUAUAUGACUUACCUGUGAGUUGGCAAUAAAGCUGAGCGUCAGAGCCUGGAGCUCGGUGUCAUUUCUUCCUGGAAAUGAGUCAGUGGGUUUACACCAUCUCAAAUGUAGCUGAUCAUCUGAAACAUACACUCCAUUCCAGUCUGUGUCUCGACAGGCAACAUAUUCACCAUCAAGGAGCACAAGAACGAUCCACACAAAAGGUGGAAUCAGGCAAAGAAACAAUAUUUUUAAAGGUUGAAAUACAGAAGAUUUAAAUUUAAUCCGCUGUAAAAUAAUACACAUUGAAGCAAAAACUAAAAUAAAAGGGCCAGCGAAGAUGAGGUUUGUUAUUAUCGGAUUCAGUUUAGCAUCGCAUGGGCAUAUAAAAUCUUUAUCAAUCAAAGCCUCCAAAGGAAUUAAUAAAAUGAUCAUUGGAACAGAGAUGGCAAGAGCCAGUUUGUCCAGCUCUCUUUUACACAUUUCAGUUAUUAAAGGCAUGUUUUGAGGUCUACACAGUUCUCAACAGGUAAAUUUGAUGAUGCUUUGAAUGCUCCUCUGUUUUAUGGUCUCAGGAAAUGCUCGUAAUCUGGCAGAUCAGAUGCUCAGGAAAUUCUCAAGGCUGGACAGGUCCCCUACAGUCAAUAAAAAAAAUUUGUUUACACAUUGUGUUUUUUAAUAUUUAAAGAGUACAAACUAUACAUUUCUGCUUGUAUUUGUGUGUGUGUACCUAUAAAUUAUAUUCAUUCAAAAUUUAGAUUUCUAAAUUAGAUGCACGAAAAUACAACUUUCAAUAUAAAUAUACAGUAUUAAAUAUAGAAAUAUAUAAAAAGGAGACCAGGAUUUACUUUUGUAUAUGCUCUUCCUGUCUGCUGUGAUGUGUUGUUGAGUUUCAGUUUCUGCUCACAAAAAUGCUACAUGCAAUGACGGCUACAAUAAAACAUGCAUAACAGAGAGAGAGUAACAUUACAUUGUUUUUUAUUUUUUAUUUUUUUUAAAUAAAAGCUGUGUAUGUUUGUUCUUCAUGACUCAAAGAGCCACAAGUGGUAAACAUGCCUUUUAAAUGGUUAAUGAUCUCUUACUGUCAUUUUAUUUGACAUAUUUAUUGCAUAUUGUAGGCCAUUUACCUGUUUGUAGUGAGUCACAAGAGCUAUUAAUGUUCAUAUUUGCAAAUAUAAAUUCCAAUUAAUGAAAAAAAAAAGAAUAUAUAUAUAUAUAUAUAUAUAUAUAUA